rnacentral:rRNA from 1 species
UAGGGAAUAUUGGUCAAUGGACGCAAGUCUGAACCAGCCAUGCCGCGUGCAGGAUGACGGUCCUAUGGAUUGUAAACUGCUUUUUUACGGGAAGAAACCCCUGGAUGCGUCCGGGGCUGACGGUACCGUGCGAAUAAGGAUCGGCUAACUUCGUGCCAGCAGCCGCGGUAAGACGAAGGAUCCAAGCGUUGUCCGGAUUUACUGGGUUUAAAGGGUGCGUAGGCGGAAAUUUAAGUCAGUGGUGAAAUCC